CAUCUUCGGGGCAGGGUGAAAUUCCCGACCGGCGGUAACAGUCCGCGAACGCCUCCCAGGGGGCGCCGAGCUGGUGCAAUUCCAGCGCCGACAGUACAGUCUGGAUGGUAGAAGAU
rnacentral:ncRNA from 1 species